rnacentral:lncRNA from 1 species
GAGUGGGAGGGAGGGGACCCAACCCCUCCCCCCCACCCCCACCCUUCUCUUCUGGUCCAGUGAGGCUGAGCCGACCCGAACUCAGUGCUGCCGCCCGCGAGACCUGCUGCCUGAAGCUGGUCUGGCAGCUGCCCCCGGGGGAGCUGCUGGUGGCUGGCGAAGCGCAGUACCAACUCCGCUACAGGGCUGGGCCGGAGGCUCCGUGGGUGCAGGUGGGGGUUCCCGCACCUUGGGGGAGGGGUGGAAAUAGAGGAUACCCCUGACUUGGCUUCUGUUUGCCUCCUGUGCCCUUUGCCCUCCUGGCCCCUCUGCCUGGGCUCAUUGUCCCAGACCUUUCGGGGCUGGCCAGUGAGGGGACGAGGUGCCACUGUCCUCCCCAAUAGCUCAAUGCCGUGGUCUCUGGCGAUGCCCUGCCCAUCUCCCAGGACAUCUGCAGCCUCUCGCCGUACACCAACUACUCGGUCCAGGUGCGGGCAAAGUACCGGAGUCCUGUCAGCUCCUGGAGCGACUGGAGUGCUGAGAGGACGGCAGCCACUCUGCCUGAGGCCCCCAGCGUGGGUCCCAGGCUGUGGAGGAGGAUGGGCCCAGCCCACCCCAAUGGGAGCCGGAAGGUGGCGGUGAUGUGGAAGGUAAGAGGCUGAAGACUUCAGCAUCCAUGGCGAAGGGAGGAGCACCCAGAGUCCCCCCAAGCUUCCCUUUUCUCCCCCCCUCCCACUAUCACCCUUCCUGUCCCCUCCCAGUCCAAGGCUCUCUGAGUCCCACAUUGGCUGCUGGGCAGUUGUGCCAAUCCCCAGUCAUUCAAUCAGUUGAGCACUUGCUAUGUGCAGAGCAUUGUACUAAGACCUUGGAAGC